GAUGAAUAACGUAGCGAAAUGCGAUAAGUAAUGUGAAUUGCAGAAUUCAGUGAAUCAUCGAAUCUUUGAACGCAUCUUGCGCUCCUUGGUAUUCUGAGGAGCAUGCCUGUUUGAGUGUCAUUAAAUUCUCAACUACACUGACUUUGAAUUGGUGUGGCUUGGAUUUGGGGGGAAAAUUGUUGUGGGCUUUUUGUAUAGUCUGCUCCCCUGAAAUUGAUUAGCGGUACCUUUGUGGAACUGUCUACAGGUGUGAUAAUUAUCUACAUCUUAGACAUCUGCUGGAAUGCUGCUUUCUAAACCUUACUUGUAUUGACAAUCUUGACCUCAAAUCAGGUAGGACUACCCGCUGAACUUAAGCAUAUCAAUAAGCGGAGGA
rnacentral:misc_RNA from 1 species